rnacentral:rRNA from 1 species
GAUGAACGCUAGCUACAGGCUUAACACAUGCAAGUCGAGGGGGAGCAUGGUCUUAGCUUGCUAAGGCCGAUGGCGACCGGCGCACGGGUGAGUAACACGUAUCCAACCUGCCGUCUACUCUUGGACAGCCUUCUGAAAGGAAGAUUAAUACAAGAUGGCAUCAUGAGUCCGCAUGUUCACAUGAUUAAAGGUAUUCCGGUAGACGAUGGGGAUGCGUUCCAUUAGAUAGUAGGCGGGGUAACGGCCCACCUAGUCUUCGAUGGAUAGGGGUUCUGAGAGGAAGGUCCCCCACAUUGGAACUGAGACACGGUCCAAACUCCUACGGGAGGCAGCAGUGAGGAAUAUUGGUCAAUGGGCGCAGGCCUGAACCAGCCAAGUAGCGUGAAGGAUGACUGCCCUAUGGGUUGUAAACUUCUUUUAUAAAGGAAUAAAGUCGGGUAUGUAUACCCGUUUGCAUGUACUUUAUGAAUAAGGAUCGGCUAACUCCGUG